UAUCCCCAAUCCCGAGCUGCGCCGCCACCCACCUCGUUUUCUCCACGUGCAAACGUUUGCGUGCCUACCCAAUCCCCUCUCAGCUAACCAAUCCUUGCCCCAGAUCCCCGAUUCUGCUCAACCGAGGAGCUCCUCGCGAGCAGAGCAGUCGGGCGCGUCCAGCGCUUGCAGCGGGGCGUACGCGUACCCGCAGAGCCACGGAGCCCUUCCUAGUGCCUGACCCCUCCCCGCCUCGACCACGGCGCUGGAGCCCCAUGCCGGCCAGAGCUCUCCAGCCCGCCUCGCCGGAGCACCAGGUCGACCCC
rnacentral:lncRNA from 1 species